rnacentral:rRNA from 1 species
AACGGCCGCGGUAUCCUAACCGUGCAAAGGUAGCAUAAUCACUUGCCUAUUAAUUGUAGGCUAGAAUGAAUGGGUUAACGAAAUAAAGACUGUCUCAAUUAAUCACCUAAAAAUUACUAUCUAUCUGAAGAAGGGUAGAUAACCUCGAAGGACAAGAAGACCCUAUAGAGCUUAAUUUUAAUUAUAGAGCUACACUAUAAGAAUAUUCGGUUGGGGCGACCCAGGGCUAAUUAAUCACCCAAUAAAUAAAAGAUAAAUUAAUCAAGUAAUUGACCCCUAAAAGAUCAUAAGAACAAGCUACCUUAGGGAUAACAGGCUAAUCCCACUCAAGAGUCCUUAUCAACAGUGGGGUUUGGCACCUCGAUGUUGGCUUAGG